rnacentral:lncRNA from 1 species
CCAAUCCGCACCGCGCGCUCCGCACCCAAUCCCCCGUCCUCUCGUCUCACCCCCGCACCAGCCGCCACACAACCCUAGGUCUCCUUGCGCUUCGUUCCCCGCUCGCUCGUCCCUCGGUUCUCCUCAUCCCUCCUCUGCUCCGGCUGCUACGCCGCCUCUCCCUCCACAACGCGACCAGCUCGAGCUCCACCUCAUCCAUCUCCAUCUCAAGGAGACGACUGCACAAGACGUCCGGCGCCGUCACCAUCGUCCUCGGCACAAGUGAAGCACGGGAUGCUCGCUGCGUCGCCGGCGUCCUUUCUCUCGCUGCCACCACCACCCCGACCGAGCCAUCCCCGUGCUCUCACUGAGCCUUCCCCUCCGGGCUCACUGACCCAGGUGGCGGAGAAGGAGAGGGUGAGCUCGAGGGGCAGGCAAGGGAGGAGGGCGUGAGCCCUCGUUGAUGUGGUCUCCGUCAGAGGCGACGAGGGAUGGAUCCGGAGGCCGGGAAGCUGGAGGUGGAGGCCGCGGCGGGGCGACCACUGGUCCACGGACCGGGAGGAUGACGGGGAGGGGAGGGCGAGUCGCCCCCCACCACCACUACGCGCAGGUACUUCCCCUCCCCUCCUUCUUCCCUUGAUCUAUCCACUAUCUCUCCCCCGCCCUAUUUCUGUGCUGGAUGAACCCCUCUAAUUCAUCUCUUCCUAUUUUUUAGGUUUGCGUUGGGGAUUGAUUCCUACUAGUGAAAUAUGCAAGGGAGCCGACCUACAGGUCAGUCCUUUUACAUGACAUGCGAAAUCUUUAGGCCUUGUUCGGUUACACCCUGCCUGAAGGGGAUUGGAGGGGAAUGGGAUUUGGACGGGAUUUGACUUACAGGGGAUUCAAUCCACUUCAAUCCCUAUCAAACCCCUUUCAAUUCCCUGUCAACCGAACACAGUCUUAGUGGGUUCCUGUUUCAAUGCUGAAGAAGCAUAACUUCUGAGUGGAAGGAUAAUAUUAUGUUUUCCAGUUUCAUGUAUAGCUUGAGCUCGCGGCAGAGACAUGGAAGGUCGGAAAAUGAAGAUAUGGGAUGAAGGUGCUCGCACUGAAUAUAUAUAGUAUUUCUUCUGCACCGAGCCGGAUAGUUUAGCUGAUAAUUUUUUCGUUCUGCAGCCAAGCAAUGGAAGAUAAUGGUAACCAAGGCCAUCUUUGUUGGUCAUGGAUUUAGAAGAAAGCCAACAGAGUAUGAAAAGGUUCUCAUGGGACUCACCUUGAACUGAAAUCUUUGUUCAACCUUGGUAUAAUUCUGUGAUAGAAACCCCAGGUGGUCCAAUAUUUUGUUUGUUACUUUAGUGCGUGUUAUUUUUGGUUUGUUAUAACCGAAUUUACAGCCUACUAUAUGUGCAUUUCUUUUAUUCUGUUUUGGUGGGUUCUAAACUAUGAAAUUAGGAAACAUAUAGUUUAUUAGUAUCACAUUUGUAAAAUCAUGCAUAUGCAGGAGCUCAGCAGUCUACCGACCUAAAUUUCUCCCCAACUUAUGUCUUUUUGUUCAGUCAAGAAUUUUAGGUUUCCUUGGUCACCACGGCCUCCUCUCUACUUGGCUCUCCUCUAUCUUGCUUCUCUAUAAAAAAAAUGGAAACUACCAUGAGAGAUAAAUGCCAACUGAAAGUUAAAUUCUGUUAGAAAGUUAAAUUCAGUUAGAACCAAGGUUUUGGUUACCGAAUGAGGCAUUUUUACCGAGGGGGACUGGUAAACGCGGUUACCACGGUUACCUAGAAAUACCGAUAAAUACCGAGAAUAUUUCGAACGAAUUUAUAGUUGAAUUUUGAAUUCAAAUAAGUUAAUAAACGAACAUUUGAACCAGAGACCUCUCAAAACAGGAAGUAGGUUGCUACCAACACGCCAGAACCAACUCUCAUGGCAUUAAUUAGAUCCUACGUACUUUACUACAAAUCGAGUGUUUAAAUUCAAAAAAUUCAAAAAACUGGUAUUUUUUGCUUGGUACGUGGAUUUACCGAGGGGCGCGGAAAUACGCGGUAACCAUGGGAAAUCUCAAAAUUUCGACUGGUAACCAAAACCUUGGUUAGAACUAGUUUUUUGCACGUGUGUUCUUGAUUCUUCAUGUACGACCACAUAGUAGGGACGCAACAAAUAUUUGUUAGCUAGGUUGCUUGCCUAAUGAAGCUCCCAUGUGGACCAUUUACUGCUAUGUGUUAUUGGAAUUUGUUUGUAGUGUUCGCUCAGGCUAAAGAAAUUCAUGUCAUUUUCCUCCAUUUAUUUCCCUUUAUGCAUAAGUGCUACCUUUGGCAAUUGCUCUGUCCAGCCUAUUAAUCACUGAGAAAGGUUUUGAUGCAAUCUGCUGAAUAAGCUCACAUUGUUGAUUGCAGGAUCAUAAGAUGCUUUUACACAUGAUUGUGUGAUGCUCAGAGACAUUUCGCACAUAGAAACUUCUUGUGAAGCUUGAUUUUAUUCAGGUGCCUAACUGACUACCACUUCCUCGGUGUUUGUGCUUACGAGCAUGCCGUAAACUUCUUGUGAAGCUCGCUGUUUCAUGUGCCUAACUGACUGUCGCUUUCUAUGUUCAUGCUUAUUUGCAUCCAGAUGGUGAUUUUGGGCUGAAAGAUUAUUGCAAGCUUAGAAUCUUUUAAAUGUCCUUAUUUACAUGAUUUGUAUGAUAAACUUCCAAAAUAUUCAUUCAACGUUGCUAUUUUUCUUUUCAGAGCCAUAUAAUUUUUUUAUAGAAACAUGAGCAGAGUAAAAUGGACACAGCUUCUGGUACAUCUGAGGUAUAGAAUCGGCAAUCUUCAUUGAAUGUUGUAACAUAUUUACAACUAGAUUCAGUUUUAAAUCAGAAAUAGAAGUCGUUUAAGUUUCGGAUAGUUAUAUGAUGUGCCAUGUGCAUGCUUUACAGUUACCUUGCAAGUGUCGUGAUGUUGCAUAGAUAUUUGUUUAUCUAUAUGAAUGUUGGACCCUGCGUGAUUGAUCUUAUUUUGUUCCUAUGUGCGAACUAGCUCUCCUUUAGUAGUGUAGUACUUCUAUACUAAACUGAACCGGGAAUGGUUUGAUUGUGCUCUGUAGGACAGUGUGAUUUCUUUUCAUAGAAUGUUGUCAUCUAUAUCUUGCUGAAGUACAGAACUAUUGGUUAGUUAAUUCUCUCACUCAUCAAUUUACAAAUUCAGUAUUUUAUUUACAUGGGGCUUGGCUGGUUUACGUUUAAUUCAUGCAUCAUAUAUGGUUGUUUAGUUCAGACUUGUGCAUGUGCAUGCAUUGGAAUUGAUUUAACAAAGAUAUAUCAUGAUUCUGUACAUAAAAAUAGUAUAAGUAUGCAUGAUCUAUGAAUAAAUGCUCGGAUAUAGUUAGUCGUGAGAUAGUAGGAGUACCAUGAGCUUACAACUUCUGGAUAUCGUUAAUACUUAAUGGCCUGUAGUUGUUCAAAAAUCUGGAAUGUCUUUCAAGAACUGUUGAUCAGUGUUGCUAUGAGUAUUUCUUAGAGUUUUGGUUGCAUGGAUGUACAUUAGAUUAGCAGAGGUUCUUAUUUUACUUUGUCCAGAAGAGGGGUUUUUACUAAUUUUUGUUCACAAUUUUUAUCUAACUUUCUAUUAGCACCGACGACCACAAUGGGAUGGAUCAAGCAGCCAAGACUCAGAGUGUGGUCGGGCAGCGCCAUGAGGCAGAUCUGUGCGGCGCAAGGGGCGGCAGAUGCGAAACUGAAGCUUCCCCGCUAACUUCGGAGCAGUCCACUACUAGGAAAAGGCAUGCUAGUGGCGCACCAGUUUUGCCUUCUAAUGGCGCACUACUG